AUUGAACGCUGGCGGCAGGCCUAACACAUGCAAGUCGAACGAAUGGCGGACGGGUGAGUAAUGUCUGGGAACCUGCCUGAUGGAGGGGGAUAACUACUGGAAACGGUAGCUAAUACCGCAUACGAUCAGAUGUGCCCUGAUGGGAUUAGCUAGUUGGGGGGGUAACGGCACACCAAGACGACGAGCCCUAGCUGGUCUGAGAGGAUGACCAGCCACACUGGGACUGAGACACGGUCCAGAUUCCUACGGGAGGCAGCAGUGGGGAAUAUUGCGCAAUGGGCGAAAGCCUGAUGCAGCCAUGCCGCGUGUAUGAAGAAGGCCUUCGGGUUGUAAAGCACUUUCAGCGGGGAGGCGUUAACCAACGAAGAAGCACCGGCUAACUCCGUGCCAGCAGCCGCGGUAAUAC
rnacentral:rRNA from 1 species